rnacentral:rRNA from 1 species
AGUCUCAGCGUACACGGCUUUCAACAGUGGGUCUGUGAAUGGCUCCUUACAUCAGCAGUCAUCUCCACGAUAGAGUGUGGUUGGCACCGCCCCUGCCAGGUGCCCUCUCGGACAUCCUCCGAAACCCAGUGGCUAAUACACGGUCGCCCCGGUCUGCCGCACACACUCGGCGCCGUCAGGGCUCGCCCUCGGCGGCGCCUCGUGGUGGAUUGCACCCAGCUGCUCGAAAGACCAGCGCCUGAAAAUGGCAGUGUGUCGUGGCUGACUCAGGCUGGUCCCGAAGAUGGAUGGACGGAGCUCUGGCAGAGUGGUGGCCUCGAGCCACAGCAUUGCUUGAUCGCACGAACUUCUGACCUAUCAGCUAUGACUGUCGUGUAGUGGACGACAGUGGCUAUGACGGGUAACGGAGAAUCAGGGUUCGAUUCCGGAGAGGGAGCCUGAGAGACGGCUACCACUACCAAGGUGGGCAGCAGGCACGCAAAUUGCCCAAUGCCGAUACGGUCCCGGUGAGGCAGCGACGAACUGCAGCAAUCCCGCGUGUCCUCAGCGACAAGUGUGACUUGUAAUGGAUGCAAUCCAAACACAGCGAUGAGUAUCGACUGGAGGGCAAGUCUGGUGCCAGCAGCCGCGGUAAUUCCAGCUCCAAGAGUGUAUACUAACAUUGCUGCUGUUAAAACACUUGUAGUCGGACGCUGGGUGCAGGUCUGCCAGGUGGCCGGUCGUGGCCGGUUCGGAGGCCC